rnacentral:lncRNA from 1 species
CAGCCCUCACUUGCAGGGACUUGCCUGGAGGGUUUCUAUUGCAUCCACUUCCCUCAAAGACCCCUCUAGCUUGCUGGCUCACUCUACUCUUGCCCUGUGGUGAACACCAUAGCCUGUAAAGUCUGGUGCCAAGAGCCCUCGGUUCUGGUUAGUCAGGGACAGCGGGAGCACUGUGUCCCUCUCUCCACCACUAUCAACCUUCCAAGGGGCCACUUCACUCAGUUUCACAGAACUGAAAGUGCUGGACCUGGGCUCAUUACCUCCAUUGCCAACCUUCUGGUGUCUCUCUUCUGCUCUCAAGCUUUCAUCUGCUGCCCGGAGGAUGCAUGGCUGUCGUCUCCACCUGAGAGGGACCCAGGGACAGAGGCCAGACACGCAGGUGGCCAGGUUCCAGCUCCUCACCUCAGCUCUCAGACUUAUGUCUACCUUUUCCCAACUAAACCCAGGGUCCUCCAGCACCCACAUCCUUGGCUGUUGCUCAACUCAUUUCCGGGCUGUUUGCACAGAAGCCUGAAUUCUCCAGUCUGGGGUCAGCACAGUUUUCCUGCUGCUGUUCCGCCUCCGUUUCCUCAUUGCUGCAGCAGCUGUUUUCUUUGUCUUCCUUCUUUGUCUUCUUGAAGCUCCUUGUUAAAACUUACUCGUUAACUUAAUAAGCCCAGGCACAAUGGCUGACUGGUGUCAGGAGAAAACGCCCAAAUCAUUGUUUGCUGUUGCACAGACAUGUGGGUACCUCCUUCACCACCUCCCACUUGGGCCGGGAUGGACUGCAUGCCCACAGACACCCACACAGGGCUGACUUCAGCCUGCUUUUGUCAUCAGUGCCUGAUUUAUGGACAAGGAAGUCCUUGGAAAAGCACUGUUGCCGGCUGGGCUGAGGGACCUGUGACCUUUCAGGUUGCAGGCACUUCACCUCUAUUUGUGGUCACCAGAAGGGACUGCCGUGUGCAUCUGAGCUUCGGAGGCAGCAGGGUCCAAACAUUUUGGAGUCAGGGACACACUAGACCCUCCCAGCUUUGCAACAGGAAGGAGCUGCGAGCUUUGGGAUUC